AGUGAAUCCCCCACCUUUCUUCUUUCUCAAAACGUGACCUAGACUAUUGACAAAAAAAACGUGACCUAGACGCUUCUUCGUUCUUCCUCAGCGCUCCUUUCUCUUCCUCUCAGAGCCACUCAUCACUCGUCCCUUUGGCCUUCUCUCCAUUCCUUCUCUUGAAUCCUUCUCCCUCUUGACACUUACCUCUUGUCUCGAAUCUCAACCCCCUUCCCAUUGUGCACUCCGGUAUAUCAUGGGUCCCCAUCCCUCAUUGUUCCAAACUCGAUUCCUUCUGUCGAUCUCUGGCUGUGGUGGUUUACUUCAGCUCAUGGGUCUCCAUCCCUCGAUGCUUAAUGUCUGGUUAUGGCAGAACGCUUGCGUGUUGUCUUAGAUGCAUGUUGAAUCUGUGGUGGUUUUUGUUUGCCGAAGACUAGCGACUCCAUUCCUACCAAUCGAUGGGUCAGUAACUGUAAAUACUCUUUAUUUCAUUGUGGAUUUUGUCAUUUUGUGUAUAUUUUUUGGUGUUUAGUUGUUGAAAUUUCUUGGGUUCAAUUGUUACUUGAUGAUUGUAUAAUUUGUAAUCCGUAUUGGAGAUAUCAAGUUGAUAAAAUUAACUGAAAAAAAGAGUAUUUACAGUUACUGACCCAUCG
rnacentral:misc_RNA from 1 species